GAUGAAGAACGUAGCGAAAUGCGAUAAGUAAUGUGAAUUGCAGAAUUCAGUGAAUCAUCGAAUCUUUGAACGCACAUUGCGCCCCUUGGUAUUCCGAGGGGCAUGCCUGUUCGAGCGUCAUUAUAACCCCUCAAGCUCAGCUUGGUGUUGGGGCCUGCUGCACUGGCAGCCCUUAAAAUCAGUGGCGGCGCCAUCUGGCUCUAAGCGUAGUAAUUCUUCUCGCUCUGGAGGUCCGGUCGUGUGCUCGCCAGCAACCCCCAAUUUUUUUCAGGUUGACCUCGGAUCAGGUAGGGAUACCCGCUGAACUUAAGCAUAUCAAUAAGCGGAGGA
rnacentral:misc_RNA from 1 species